AUUGAACGCUGGCGGCAGGCCUAACACAUGCAAGUCGAGCGGCAGCGGGAAAGUAGCUUGCUACUUUUGCCGGCGAGCGGCGGACGGGUGAGUAAUGCCUGGGGAUCUGCCCAGUCGAGGGGGAUAACUACUGGAAACGGUAGCUAAUACCGCAUACGCCCUACGGGGGAAAGCAGGGGACCUUCGGGCCUUGCGCGAUUGGAUGAACCCAGGUGGGAUUAGCUAGUUGGUGAGGUAACGGCUCACCAAGGCGACGAUCCCCAGCUGGUCUGAGAGGAUGAUCAGCCACACUGGAACAGAGACACGGUCCAGACUCCUACGGGAGGCAGCAGUGGGGAAUAUUGCACAAUGGGGGAAACCCUGAUGCAGCCAUGCCGCGUGUGUGAAGAAGGCCUUCGGGUUGUAAAGCACUUUCAGCGAGGAGGAAAGGUCAGUAGCUAAUAUCUGCUGGCUGUGACGUUACUCGCAGAAGAAGCACCGGCUAACUCCGUGCCAGCAGCCGCCGUAA
rnacentral:rRNA from 1 species